rnacentral:rRNA from 1 species
UACGGAGGGUGCAAGCGUUAAUCGGAAUUACUGGGCGUAAAGCGCACGCAGGCGGUUUGUUAAGUCAGAUGUGAAAUCCCCGGGCUCAACCUGGGAGCUGCAUCUGAUACUGGCAAGCUUGAGUCUCGUAGAGGGGGGGUAGAAUUCCAGGUGUAGCGGUGGAAUGCGUAGAGAUCUGGAGGAAUACCGGUGGCGAAGGCGGCCCCCCUGGACGAAGACUGACGCUCAGGUGCGAAAGCGUGGGGGAGCAAACAGGAUUAGAUACCCUGGUAGUCCACGCCGUAAACGAUGUCGACUUGGAGGUUGUGCCCUUGAGGCGUGGCUUCCGGAGCUAACGCGUUAAGUCGACCGCCUGGGGAGUACGGCCGCAAGGUUAAAACU